ACGCUGGCGGCAGGCCUAACACAUGCAAGUCGAGCGCGAAAACACUUCGGUGUGAGUAGAGCGGCGGACGGGUGAGUAAUGCUUGGGAAUCUGCCCAGUAGUGGGGGAUAACGUGUGGAAACGCACGCUAAUACCGCAUACGUCCUACGGGAGAAAGCAGGGGAUCUUCGGACCUUGCGCUAUUGGAUGAGCCCAAGUCAGAUUAGCUAGUUGGUGAGGUAAUGGCUCACCAAGGCGACGAUCUGUAGCUGGUCUGAGAGGAUGAUCAGCCACACUGGGACUGAGACACGGCCCAGACUCCUACGGGAGGCAGCAGUGGGGAAUAUUGCACAAUGGGCGAAAGCCUGAUGCAGCCAUGCCGCGUGUGUGAAGAAGGCUCUAGGGUUGUAAAGCACUUUCAGUGGGGAGGAAAAGUUUAAGAUUAAUACUCUUGAACCUUGACGUUACCUGCAGAAGAAGCACCGGCAAACUCCGUGCCAGCAGCCGCGGUAAUACGGAGGGUGCGAGCGUUAAUCGGAAUUACUGGGCGUAAAGCGCGCGUAGGUGGUUUGAUAAGCUAGCUGUGAAAGCCCCGGGCUCAACCUGGGAACUGCAGUUAGAACUGUCUGGCUAGAGUAUAGUAGAGGGUGGCGGAAUUUCCUGUGUAGCGGUGAAAUGCGUAGAUAUAGGAAGGAACAUCAGUGGCGA
rnacentral:rRNA from 1 species